rnacentral:rRNA from 1 species
AGACCCGAAACCCGGUGAUCUAGCCAUGGGCAGGUUGAAGGUUGGGUAACACUAACUGGAGGACCGAACCGACUAAUGUUGAAAAAUUAGCGGAUGACCUGUGGCUGGGGGUGAAAGGCCAAUCAAACCGGGAGAUAGCUGGUUCUCCCCGAAAGCUAUUUAGGUAGCGCCUCGUGAAUUCAUCUCCGGGGGUAGAGCACUGUUUCGGCUAGGGGGCCAUCCCGGCUUACCAACCCGAUGCAAACUGCGAAUACCGGAGAAUGUUAUCACGGGAGACACACGGCGGGUGCUAACGUCCGUCGUGAAGAGGGAAACAACCCAGACCGCCAGCUAAGGUCCCAAAGUCAUGGUUAAGUGGGAAACGAUGUGGGAAGGCCCAGACAGCCAGGAUGUUGGCUUAGAAGCAGCCAUCAUUUAAAGAAAGCGUAAUAGCUCACUGGUCGAGUCGGCCUGCGCGGAAGAUGUAACGGGGCUAAACCAUGCACCGAAGCUGCGGCAGCGACGCUGAUGCGUUGUUGGGUAGGGGAGCGUUCUGUAAGCCUGCGAAGGUGGCCUGUGAGGGUUGCUGGAGGUAUCAGAAGUGCGAAUGCUGACAUAAGUAACGAUAAAGCGGGUGAAAAGCCCGCUCGCCGGAAGACCAAGGGUUCCUGUCCAACGUUAAUCGGGGCAGGGUGAGUCGACCCCUAAGGCGAGGCCGAAAGGCGUAGUCGAUGGGAAACGGGUUAAUAUUCCCGUACUUGGUGUUACUGCGAAGGGGGGACGGAGAAGGCUAUGUUGGCCGGGCGACGGUUGUCCCGGUUUAAGCGUGUAGGUGUGUGUUCCAGGUAAAUCCGGUUCACUUUAAC